CUACAGAAGGUUCCUGGUUCAAUCCUUGGCAUCUCUGCUUAAACCAGGGUUAGGGAACCUUCUGUCUGAGGGCCAUAUCCAGGCCCCUGGCUGGCUGGCCUAAUUUCAUGCUGGAUAGAAGAAGUAGAGAUGGACAGGUAAUUAUUAUUAUUAUUAAUAUAAUGGGUGUAGUGCUGCCUACUGAGAUCAGUGUCAUGGAAGGGCUGGAGCAAAAGAUUAUUUCCUUCUGCUACAAAAGAUACAAACCCUAUUGCUCAAUGCAUGUAUCUUGCAACCACAAAGGAGUAGAAUAGAAGUGGAUUCUCCUCCUUCUUUUUCCUCCCACAGGCACCCCCAAAAGGCAAAAUACAGACAUGGAUUUGUCCCAGAAAACAGAGUCUGCCCCUGGCAGGUGGGGUAGUUGGAGGCCAUGUGGGAUUUGCUCCACAUAUUGCUCCGUUUGGGAAAGACUCUGUUCAGCAUAAUGGUGGAUCCGAAUCUCAAAUCUGCUGCAUCUUGCAAGGAGAAUAAACUUUUCCUGGAUAGCCGUUGUGGCUCAUUGCAAUGACCAUCACAAAGCUGGACUCUGGUUCUAGCUUUACACUUUUUAAGAAAAAAAGCAGAUAAACUGACUUCAGUUAUGUCCCUGAGGUUGUUCCCCUCACCCUGCUCCAUGGCUGUGGUUGCUAUGGAAAUGGAACGACCAAUGAGAGGCGAGGUGGGUGGAGGAGUCCAGUCGCUUAGUGCAGAAGUGUCUGCUGACCACAGGAAGAAAUGCAACGUAAGCCCUUUUCCUACUUUCCUCUACAACCAGCUUUAAGGAUUCAGCUACCCGUCACACGUGGCUAAUGCCUGUUUAACACCUAAAACUCAAGGGUGGGUUUUUUUUUAAAUGGUCCGAGGGCCACUUUCCCUUCUGGGAAGCUUUCUGAGGGCCACAUGCCCAGAGCCAGAUGCAAAAGUGGGCGAAGCAAUGCAUAUAAUUUUUACCUUUGUGCAGGAGGUUAGUUUCUGCACACAGCCACUCACCUUUCUCUCUAUCCCAACUUCAGGCAAGCAAGAGGCAUUCUCAGAGUGCCAGGAUCCAUUGCAGUCCGCUUUGGAUGUGAAGCAAUGCUCAGAAAGGGGUGUGAGCAGUGGAGAGAGUGAGCUUCGAGAGAGUGCCAUGGGCCAGGAAGAGAAGCCGCAUACCGUACCCCUGGCCUGAUGUUCCCCACCCCUGCUAUAAUAAUAAUAACAACAGGUUUUAUUGUUAUCAUCAGUAUUAAUUAUCUGCUCUUCGCCCUAAGUCCCCAG